rnacentral:misc_RNA from 1 species
GAUGAAGAACGUAGCGAAAUGCGAUAAUUAAUGUGAAUUGCAGAAUUUAGUGAAUCAUCGAAUCUUUGAACGCACAUUGCGCCCCUUGGUAUUCCGGGGGGCAUGCCUGUUCGAGCGUCAUUUCAACCCUCAAGCUCUGCUUGGUGUUGGGCCCUGCCCGCUCGCGGCCGGCCCUAAAGACAGUGGCGGUGCCGUCUGGCUCUAAGCGUAGUACAUCUCUCGCUCUGGUGCCCGGCGGUGUCCUGCCAGAACCCCCCAACUCUGUGGUUGACCUCGGAUCAGGUAGGGAUACCCGCUGAACUUAAGCAUAUCAAUAAGCGGAGGA